CCUUUUGAAUAGUCUCAUUGAUAGAAACCGAGUCUUUGAAGCAUAGAUCAAGAUUUUCCAGUGAAGUGGGUUCAAAAUUAUCAUCACUUGACUUGUUUAUAUUCCUGAGGUGAACAUUCAUUUGAACUAGAAUCGUUAUUUGGCUGGUUUUCUUUGCCUUGUGCUGAAACAACCUCACUUAUUGUAAGGAAACCUCUUUUGGAAGCCAUGUUGCAAUUAAAUAAUGGCGAACUGUUGAAAUACUACAGAAAAAAUGCUGUGGAAUCGCCAAUUUUGAAGAUUUUGUUGUAAAUUUUGUUUUGCUUUGAAGCAGAUCAUCUCAG